UGGAUGGCGCUCUAGCGAGUUACUUAUACCACGCCGUUGGCUGUUGCUUACAACAGCAGUCAACGUGUAAGAGGGUCGCAGUGGUUGCGUUGAAGGUUUUCUGAGUGAUCAGAGCUGGAGCAGCCACUGGUGCAGAUCUUGGUGAUAGUAGCAAAUAAUCAAGUGAGAUCCUUGAUGACUGAAGUGAAAAAGGUUUCCACGUGAACAGUAUUUGGACGUGGGUCAGACGGUCCUAAGGAAUCGGCGAAUGCCGUGCCCAAUAGUGUGUGUUUUCGAUGGCUGCUUCGGUGGUCCUCUCGAAUCACAUGGUAUCCGAAAGGGAAACAGGUUAAUAUUCCUGUUCUUUGAGCUUGCGUUGGCGCGACCUCCUUCACGGGGGGUUGUCGUCUGGGGCGGUAACGCGUAUGAACUUGUAUACGUCAUGUAUAGUUCGGGCUAGAGAUCUCUCCUCUAGUUUAGCUGUUUUGACCAUGGAAUGAGCUCAGCUCGAGAUAUGGUUGUAGGCAGCGUAGAGUGGCGCGGUUUCUGUGCCAUCCCGAGUGCUAUGCAUGACCCUUGAAAAUACAAGGGAUCCCUGAUUAUGCAAGCCAAAGCCGUACCGAAACCGCAUCAGGUUUUCAAGGUGAAUAGCCUCUCGUCGAUAGAAUAAUGUAGGUAAGGGAAGUCGGCAAAUUAGAUCCGUAACUUCGGGAAAAGGAUUGGCUCUAAGAACCGGGCUAUCCGGGCUUUGUUGCGAGGCUAGUGUGCUCUCGGUCAUGACUGCAGGAUGCUUCGGCUGAAUGCGGGCUAGUGCUGUGGGGCUGCUGGUUGAGCGGCUUUGCUUUCGGUGCAUCGUUUGAAGCGUGUCCUUCGGGGCGCGUGGAGGGCGGUGUGCCUCGGGUAGCGCUUAACGGUUGGCUUAGAACUGACACGGACUCAGGGAAUCCGACUGUCUAAUUAAAACAGAGCAGAUAGAAGGCGUUUAUGUGCGUUGACUAUCUGUGAUUUCUGCCCAGUGCUCUGAAUGUUAAGCUAAGGAAACUUGAUUAAGCGCGGGUAAACGGCGGGAGUAACUAUGACUCUCUUAAGGUAGCCAAAUGCCUCGUCAUCUAAUUAGUGACGUGCACGAAUGGAUUAACGAGAUUCCCACUGUCCCUAUCUACUAUCUAGCGAAAUCACAGCCAAGGGAACGGGCUUGGCAAGUUAUGCGGGGAAAGAAGACCCGAUUGAGCUUGACUCUAGUCUGACUUUGUGAAGAGUCAUAGAAGGUGUAGUAUAGGUGGGAGACUUCGGUCGUCAGUGAAAUACCACCACUUCUAUCGAUUCCUUACUUAUUCGGUUAUAUGGGGAUUGCUGCCUUGUGUAGCUUUCUCUUGGAAUUAAGUCGUGGCACUUGUGCCGCGACGACCCACGUCGAUGACAUAGUCAGGCGGGGAGUUUGACUGGGGCGGUACAUCUGUCAAAUCGUAACGCAGGUGUCCUAAGCCGUACUCAGACAGGACAGAAACCUGUCGUAGACUAAAAGGAGAAAAGUACGAUUGAUCUAGAUUCUCAGUACGAAUACAGACCGUUAAAGCGUGGCCUAUCGAUCCUUUUGGAUUAUGGAGUUUAUAAUAAGAGGUGUCAGAAAAGUUACCAUCGGGAUAACUGGCUUGUGGCAGCCAAGCGUCCAUAGCGACGUUGCUUUUUG
rnacentral:rRNA from 1 species